rnacentral:tRNA from 2 species
GCGGGUGUAGUUCAGUGGUAGAACGUCAGCUUCCCAAGCUGAAUGUCGCCAGUUCAAAUCUGGUCAUCCGCU